rnacentral:lncRNA from 10 species
GGGAGGCACCUGUCUCCAAGAAUUCAACACCAUGGACAACGGGAUUCACUGGGCUGCCAUUCUGACCGUUGCAACCGCAACCCUUUCUCUAAGCAGCUGGGAUCACAGCCUCUUCCAUUCUUCCUUCUUGUAUAUCAUGUCAUGGAGCAGAUGCUACACACAGAAACCCAACAGUUCUUUCCAGGCUUCAACCUGUAAAACCCGACUCCACUCUGAGUAUUCCAGGCCCACACAUCAAUGACAGUGCCUUGAAAACAGAUUUAAAAAAGAAAGGGCCCCUAACCCCGCUCAGCCUCCCCGAGGAGUUGCCGCUCAGCUGCGUGCUGUGAGGUAGAUGUAGAGAGAAAAUGCUUCACAACCAGCAAGCCGGGUGCGGUGUGGUGCAGGCCCAUCCAGCCGCCCACAGCGCCCUGCUGGGCUCAGAGGACAGGGGACGCUGCAAGGGGUGGGGCAGGGCUGCGUGGAGGGGGCCCUGUUUGAGCUGAGCCUCUGUGCUGAGUUCAGUAGUGACCUCCCCAAAAGUCAUGUCCACCCAGCACCUGUGAAGGUGACGUGAUUUGGAAAUAGAGUCUUCUCAGCUGUGAUCAAGGGAAGAUGAGGUCUUGCUGGAUUAGGGAGGGCCCUAACCAAUGACUGGUAUCUUUAUAAGGCAGGGGACAUUUGCACAGAGACACAGGAAGGAAGGCCACGUGAAGACGGAGGCAGAGGUUGCAUCCAGAGCCCAGGAACACCUAGGGCUGCCAGCCACCAGCAGAAGCCAGGGAAGGGGCCAGGAGGGGCAGAACCUGCCGAUCCCUCGAUCCUGGACUGUGGCCUCUAGAACCCUGACGGGAUAAACUUCUGUUGUGUUAAACCCCAUUUGUGACACUGUGUGAUGGCUGCCACAGGACCCUGGCAGCUUGAAGAAGGCCUUAUCUAAAGGCCCCUCAGCACCUAUGGGUGGUCGGCCACUCCUCCUGGGUGACAGCCCUCCUGGGUGACAGCCCUGGUGACAACCCUCUUGGGUGACAGCCCUGGGUGAAAGCCCUGCUGGGUGACAGCCCUCCUGCGUGACAGCCCUCCUGGGUGAUGCCCCUCACUGCCCCUUAGUGGCUGACUGGCAUGCAACAAGGCACCAGGCGCUGGCACCUCCCUAUGGUCACCAGCAUGUGGCACCCCUGACCUAGGUGCUGGGCACACUGCACCCCAGGUUCCUGGUCGGACUGGGAGGAGCUAGUUUGGGCGGGGUGGAGCCCUGGGCCGCCAACCCUGGACCAAAGGCAGAUGGUGAGCAUGGGUGGACCCGGCUUCUUUACCUUCCCGAGGCCUUGGGUGAGGGGCUGGCUGCCUGCCCUGUGCAGAGGACUUUGUCCUUGGAGCAGAGUGGCCAUCACAAUGGGUAUGGGUGAUAUCUCCAGGUGUUUGAGCAGCUAGGAUUUGAUGCAGGCAUCCAGCACUUACAAAAUCCCUGGGUGAGUUGGAGGAGAGGUCUUGGGUUGCCCCUGCCCCAUGGCUCCCAGAGCCCAGCAGAACCAAGCUGCCCAGGAGGUAGGAAUCAGGGAUGCCACUGAAGCACCACUGACUUCGUGGGGUGCAGGGACCUGGGAUCAGGGCCACUGGGCAGCUCAAGACCAGACACUGGAACAUUGCUUUAGACACUUCCACGUGCCUGUGACCCUGCUGGGUGGCAGAACACAGCCCAGAGCUGCCAAAAGAUGUCCCCCACCCCCGCCUCCUUGAUCUCACCUGGGCGUGUUACUAGUGGAUCCUAACCCUGGAAGCCAUUGCAAGGGAACCUGGAAAUGUAGCCUUCAGCUUCCCAGUCCCUGCUGGUCAGGAAGGCACAGGAGGAGGAGGUGGAAAUGAGUGUGGAGGGCCACAUAUCAGGCCAAAGCAGCAGGCACUCAGAACACAGCGGCCUAGAAGCAGGGUACAGGAAGGGAUGCCCCUCAGCCACACCAGCCUUCAGGGCCCCAGGCAGGCUCCCUCCUGCCAAAGGUCUUUGUGUAUGUUGUUCCUGCCUUAUCAAGUGUUCCUCCCUAUCCUCUCUGCCUCCACAUAGCAAGGUAACUUCCACUCAGCCAAAAACUAUCACUGUCCAGCACAGCCCAAAUAUCCAUAAACAGAAAACAUCAACAAAUGACAGUAUAUUCAUACAAUGAAAUACUAUACAGCAAUGAAAAAGAAUCACCGACGACCACAUACAACAAUAUGGGAGGAUCUCACAGAUGUCAUUGUUGAGUGAAGAAGCCGGACUCAAAAGAGCACCAUUCACAAACCUCCAUUACUAGGAAGCUCAAAAAGAAGCAGAAUUAAUCUAUGGCACAAGGGUAGAGAAGAAUGGUU